UGGCUCAGGACGAACGCUGGCGGCGUGCUUAACACAUGCAAGUCGAACGGUGAAGCCCUUCGGGGUGGAUCAGUGGCGAACGGGUGAGUAACACGUGGGCAAUCUGCCCUGCACUCUGGGACAAGCCCUGGAAACGGGGUCUAAUACCGGAUAUGACCUUCCUCCGCAUGGGGGUUGGUGUAAAGCUCCGGCGGUGCAGGAUGAGCCCGCGGCCUAUCAGCUUGUUGGUGGGGUAAUGGCCUACCAAGGCGACGACGGGUAGCCGGCCUGAGAGGGCGACCGGCCACACUGGGACUGAGACACGGCCCAGACUCCUACGGGAGGCAGCAGUGGGGAAUAUUGCACAAUGGGCGAAAGCCUGAUGCAGCGACGCCGCGUGAGGGAUGACGGCCUUCGGGUUGUAAACCUCUUUCAGCAGGGAAGAAGCGCAAGUGACGGUACCUGCAGAAGAAGCACCGGCUAACUACGUGCCAGCAGCCGCGGUAAUACGUAGGGUGCGAGCGUUGUCCGGAAUU
rnacentral:rRNA from 1 species